GCAGAGUAGAACUUUGUGCGUUUCCUUUUAUGGUGCAGUGCCUGUUGGACGGGGAGUUGUCAGCAGGACGAAAAGCCUUUUGGCUUGCGGUACAAAGUUUGCAUCCCGCUGC
rnacentral:ncRNA from 1 species